rnacentral:rRNA from 1 species
UGGGGGAUAUUGCACAAUGGGCGAAAGCCUGAUGCAGCGACGCCGCGUGGGGGAUGAAGGCCUUCGGGUUGUAAACUUCUUUUGCUCUGAACAAGGCGCACCAUGGGGUGUGUUGAGUGUAGGGGUUGAUUAGCGCCGGCUAACUACGUGCCAGCAGCCGCGGUAAUACGUAGGGCGCGAGCGUUGUCCGGAAUUAUUGGGCGUAAAGGGCUUGUAGGUGGCUGGUUGCGUCUGUCGUGAAAGCUCAUGGCUUAACUGUGGGUUUGCGGUGGAUACGGGCUGGCUUGAGUGCAGUAGGGGAGGCUGGAAUUCCUGGUGUAGAGGUGGAAUGCGCAGAUAUCAGGAGGAAUACCGGUGGCGAAGGAGGGUCUCUGGGCUGUUACUGACACUGAGGAGCGAAAGCAUGGGGAGCGAACAGG